rnacentral:rRNA from 1 species
UACGGAGGGUGCAAGCGUUAUCCGGAUUCACUGGGUUUAAAGGGUGCGUAGGUGGGUUGGUAAGUCAGUGGUGAAAUCUCCGAGCUUAACUUGGAAACUGCCAUUGAUACUAUCAGUCUUGAAUACCGUGGAGAUGGGCGGAAUAUGUCAUGUAGCGGUGAAAUGCUUAGAUAUGACAUAGAACACCAAUUGCGAAGGCAGCUCGUUACACGAAUAUUGACACUCAGGCACGAAAGCGUGGGGAUCAAACAGG